UGGGGAAUAUUGCACAAUGGGCGCAAGCCUGAUGCAGCCAUGCCGCGUGUAUGAAGAAGGCCUUCGGGUUGUAAAGUACUUUCAGCGGGGAGGAAGGCGAUGCGGUUAAUAACCGUGUCGAUUGACGUUACCCGCAGAAGAAGCACCGGCUAACUCCGUGCCAGCAGCCGCGGUAAUACGGAGGGUGCAAGCGUUAAUCGGAAUUACUGGGCGUAAAGCGCACGCAGGCGGUCUGUCAAGUCGGAUGUGAAAUCCCAGGGCUCAACCUGGGAACUGCAUCCGAAACUGGCAGGCUUGAGUUUUGUAGAGGGGGGUAGAAUUCCAGGUGUAGCGGUGAAAUGCGUAGAGAUCUGGAGGAAUACCGGUGGCGAAGGCGGCCCCCUGGACAAAGACUGACGCUCAGGUGCGAAAGCGUGGGGAGCAAACA
rnacentral:rRNA from 1 species